CCUACGGGAGGCUGCAGUGGGGAAUAUUGGACAAUGGGCGAAAGCCUGAUCCAGCCAUGCCGCGUGUGUGAAGAAGGCCUUCGGGUUGUAAAGCACUUUCAGUGGGGAAGAAAGCCUUGGGGCUAAUACCCUCGAGGAAGGACAUCACCCACAGAAGAAGCACCGGCUAACUCCGUGCCAGCAGCCGCGGUAAUACGGAGGGUGCGAGCGUUAAUCGGAAUUACUGGGCGUAAAGCGCGCGUAGGCGGUCUGAUAAGCCGGUUGUGAAAGCCCCGGGCUCAACCUGGGAACGGCAUCCGGAACUGUCAGGCUAGAGUGCAGGAGAGGAAGGUAGAAUUCCCGGUGUAGCGGUGAAAUGCGUAGAGAUCGGGAGGAAUACCAGUGGCGAAGGCGGCCUUCUGGACUGACACUGACGCUGAGGUGCGAAAGCGUGGGUAGCAUACAGGAUUAGAUACCCUAGUAGUC
rnacentral:rRNA from 1 species